rnacentral:rRNA from 1 species
GACGAACCGUACGAACGUUAUUCGGAAUCACUGGGCUUAAAGGGUGCGUAGGCGGCGCGACAAGUUGGGUGUGAAAUCCCUCGGCUCAACCGAGGAACUGCGCCCAAAACUGUCGUGCUCGAGGGAAACAGAGGUGAGCGGAACUUAGGGUGGAGCGGUGAAAUGCGUUGAUAUCCUAAGGAACACCGGUGGCGAAAGCGGCUCACUGGGUCUCUUCUGACGCUGAGGCACGAAAGCUAGGGUAGCGAACGGG